rnacentral:lncRNA from 1 species
GAAGUGGGGGUGGGGGAGAGAAGCAGUCACAGAGGUCUUCUAUGUCUCUCAUUCUCAACUGUGAGUCUGCAAUCAUCAAUACCACUGCAAAAGAAGCAUGCUUGCCCUUUACAGUCAGCAGCAGCAAGGAUCAUGGACGUCCACAUGGUUUCUGGCUACAGCACGGGCCGCAGACAGACCAUGGACAUUCCCAAGGCCUUUGGUGGUAACAAGGACCAUGAGCAUCAACCCCAGGGGCAGCACAGCUCACUGUCACCAACGUGGCUUCGGGCAGCAGCUCAGAUCUCCACAUCCACCUGGCCUUCAGUGGUAACUCUCGCAACUGGCAAUUUCUUAAAGAGACAAGUCUCUUAUGUAGUGAGACCUCAAAUCCACAGAAAACCUCUGACUCCCAAGUGUUGGGAUUAAAGGGCCAGAACAAACAAGGAACCGAGGAAGUGAUUGGGUCCUGCGGAUCGCGUUACGGAACCUCUGAGGGCUGUACUUGUCCAGGCCAGCCUUCACAUCCUAUCUCACCUCACCUGACCCUUUUCCACCACGAGGGGGGGAUCUGUUUUCUUUGGGCAGCCUCUCCACAUGUGAUGUCCCCGAGCAGAACAGAUGAACCUCAUCAGUGUGGAGUGGCCCUAGAAAGAAGUGAUGCGCUCUGAGAUGUGUUCUCUUUGUGCAGGCCCCCCUCUGUGAGAAGGCACCUGAUAGCUAGUGCUAAUCCUAUGUAAAUCUCUAUUGGCUUCCUGGAAAGAUGGCCUUUGGACACGCUAGCUCGCUAGCUCGGGCUCCUGGAAUUCAUUAUAGAGCACAAGCCAACACUGAAGUCAAAGCAAUCCCCCGGUUUUUGUCACCAAUCUUGCUUUAGAUGGGCUUUGUUGUUUUGUUUAUUUCUGAGACAAGGUUUCUCUGUAGAGGAGGUUUCAAGAUCCUCCUGCCUUGGGAUUAAAGGUAUGUCUGGACUUAAGGUGGUUAGUUUUUUGUUGUUGUUUUGUUUAAAGUUUUAUUUUUUGUGUAGGAGUGUUUUGCUUCUCUCUCUCUCUCUCUCUCUCUCUCUCUCUCUCUCUCUCUGU